UACGUAGGUGGCAAGCGUUGUCCGGAUUUACUGGGCGUAAAGGGCGUGCAGGCGGUUUGUUAAGUGCAGAGUGAAAGCUCCCGGCUCAACUGGGAGAGGUCUUUGCAUACUGGCAAACUCGAGGGAGGCAGAGGAAAGUGGAAUUCCCGGUGUAGUGGUGAUAUGCGUAGAUAUCGGGAGGAACACCUGUGGCGAAGGCGGCUUUCUGGGCCUUACCUGAUGCUGAGACGCGAAAGCGUGGGGAGCGAACCGG
rnacentral:rRNA from 1 species